rnacentral:rRNA from 1 species
GACGAACGCUGGCGGCGUGCUUAACACAUGCAAGUCGAACGGAAAGGCCCUGCUUUUGUGGGGUGCUCGAGUGGCGAACGGGUGAGUAACACGUGAGUAACCUGCCCUUGACUUUGGGAUAACUUCAGGAAACUGGGGCUAAUACCGGAUAGGAGCUCCUGCUGCAUGGUGGGGGUUGGAAAGUUUCGGCGGUUGGGGAUGGACUCGCGGCUUAUCAGCUUGUUGGUGGGGUAGUGGCUUACCAAGGCUUCGACGGGUAGCCGGCCUGAGAGGGUGACCGGCCACAUUGGGACUGAGAUACGGCCCAGACUCCUACGGGAGGCAGCAGUGGGGAAUAUUGCACAAUGGGCGGAAGCCUGAUGCAGCAACGCCGCGUGCGGGAUGACGGCCUUCGGGUUGUAAACCGCUUUCGCCUGUGACGAAGCGUGAGUGACGGUAAUGAGUAAAGAAGCACCGGCUAACUACGUG